rnacentral:rRNA from 1 species
CUGUGAGCUCGAUGAGUAGGGCGGGACACGUGGUAUCCUGUCUGAAUAUGGGGGGACCAUCCUCCAAGGCUAAAUACUCCUGACUGACCGAUAGUGAACCAGUACCGUGAGGGAAAGGCGAAAAGAACCCCGGCGAGGGGAGUGAAAAAGAACCUGAAACCGUGUACGUACAAGCAGUGGGAGCACGCUUAGGCGUGUGACUGCGUACCUUUUGUAUAAUGGGUCAGCGACUUAUAUUCUGUAGCAAGGUUAACCGAAUAGGGGAGCCGAAGGGAAACCGAGUCUUAACUGGGCGUUAAGUUGCAGGGUAUAGACCCGAAACCCGGUGAUCUAGCCAUGGGCAGGUUGAAGGUUGGGUAACACUAACUGGAGGACCGAACCGACUAAUGUUGAAAAAUUAGCGGAUGACUUGUGGCUGGGGGUGAAAGGCCAAUCAAACCGGGAGAUAGCUGGUUCUCCCCGAAAGCUAUUUAGGUAGCGCCUCGUGAAUUCAUCUCCGGGGGUAGAGCACUGUUUCGGCAAGGGGGUCAUCCCGACUUACCAACCCGAUGCAAACUGCGAAUACCGGAGAAUGUUAUCACGGGAGACACACGGCGGGUGCUAACGUCCGUCGUGAAGAGGGAAACAACCCAGACCGCCAGCUAAGGUCCCAAAGUCAUGGUUAAGUGGGAAACGAUGUGGGAAGGCCCAGACAGCCAGGAUGUUGGCUUAGAAGCAGCCAUCAUUUAAAGAAAGCGUAAUAGCUCACUGGUCGAGUCGGCCUGCGCGGAAGAUGUAACGGGGCUAAACCAUGCACCGAAGCUGCGGCAGCGACGCUUAUGCGUUGUUGGGUAGGGGAGCGUUCUGUAAGCCUGCGAAGGUGUGCUGUGAGGCAUGCUGGAGGUAUCAGAAGUGCGAAUGCUGACAUAAGUAACGAUAAAGCGGGUGAAAAGCCCGCUCGCCGGAAGACCAAGGGUUCCUGUCCAACGUUAAUCGGGGCAGGGUGAGUCGACCCCUAAGGCGAGGCCGAAAGGCGUAGUCGAUGGGAAACAGGUUAAUAUUCCUGUACUUGGUGUUACUGCGAAGGGGGGACGGAGAAGGCUAUGUUGGCCGGGCGACGGUUGUCCCGGUUUAAGCGUGUAGGCUGGUUUUCCAGGCAAAUCCGGAAAACUAAGGCUGAGGCGUGAUGACGAGGCACUACGGUGCUGAAGCAACAAAUGCCCUGCUUCCAGGAAAAGCCUCUAAGCAUCAGGUAACAUCAAAUCGUACCCCAAACCGACACAGGUGGUCAGGUAGAGAAUACCAAGGCGCUUGAGAGAACUCGGGUGAAGGAACUAGGCAAAAUGGUGCCGUAACUUCGGGAGAAGGCACGCUGAUAUGUAGGUGAAGUCCCUCGCGGAUGGAGCUGAAAUCAGUCGAAGAUACCAGCUGGCUGCAACUGUUUAUUAAAAACACAGCACUGUGCAAACACGAAAGUGGACGUAUACGGUGUGACGCCUGCCCGGUGCCGGAAGGUUAAUUGAUGGGGUUAGCGCAAGCGAAGCUCUUGAUCGAAGCCCCGGUAAACGGCGGCCGUAACUAUAACGGUCCUAAGGUAGCGAAAUUCCUUGUCGGGUAAGUUCCGACCUGCACGAAUGGCGUAAUGAUGGCCAGGCUGUCUCCACCCGAGACUCAGUGAAAUUGAACUCGCUGUGAAGAUGCAGUGUACCCGCGGCAAGACGGAAAGACCCCGUGAACCUUUACUAUAGCUUGACACUGAACAUUGAGCCUUGAUGUGUAGGAUAGGUGGGAGGCUUUGAAGUGUGGACGCCAGUCUGCAUGGAGCCGACCUUGAAAUACCACCCUUUAAUGUUUGAUGUUCUAACGUUGACCCGUAAUCCGGGUUGCGGACAGUGUCUGGUGGGUAGUUUGACUGGGGCGGUCUCCUCCUAAAGAGUAACGGAGGAGCACGAAGGUUGGCUAAUCCUGGUCGGACAUCAGGAGGUUAGUGCAAUGGCAUAAGCCAGCUUGACUGCGAGCGUGACGGCGCGAGCAGGUGCGAAAGCAGGUCAUAGUGAUCCGGUGGUUCUGAAUGGAAGGGCCAUCGCUCAACGGAUAAAAGGUACUCCGGGGAUAACAGGCUGAUACCGCCCAAGAGUUCAUAUCGACGGCGGUGUUUGGCACCUCGAUGUCGGCUCAUCACAUCCUGGGGCUGAAGUAGGUCCCAAGGGUAUGGCUGUUCGCCAUUUAAAGUGGUACGCGAGCUGGGUUUAGAACGUCGUGAGACAGUUCGGUCCCUAUCUGCCGUGGGCGCUGGAGAACUGAGGGGGGCUGCUCCUAGUACGAGAGGACCGGAGUGGACGCAUCACUGGUGUUCGGGUUGUCAUGCCAAUGGCACUGCCCGGUAGCUAAAUGCGGAAGAGAUAAGUGCUGAAAGCAUCUAAGCACGAAACUUGCCCCGAGAUGAGUUCUCCCUGACUCCUUGAGAGUCCUGAAGGAACGUUGAAGACGACGACGUUGAUAGGCCGGGUGUGUAAGCGCAGCGAUGCGUUGAGCUAACCGGUACUAAUGAACCGUGAGGCUUAACCUU